AUUGAACGCUGGCGGAAUGCUUUACACAUGCAAGUCGAACGGCAGCACGGGGGCAACCCUGGUGGCGAGUGGCGAACGGGUGAGUAAUACAUCGGAACGUGCCCAGUCGUGGGGGAUAACGUAGCGAAAGUUACGCUAAUACCGCAUACGAUCUACGGAUGAAAGCGGGGGACCGUGAGGCCUCGCGCGAUUGGAGCGGGCGAUAUCAGAUUAGGUAGUUGGUGAGGUAAAGGCUCACCAAGCCGACGAUCUGUAGCUGGUCUGAGAGGACGACCAGCCACACUGGGACUGAGACACGGCCCAGACUCCUACGGGAGGCAGCAGUGGGGAAUUUUGGACAAUGGGCGCAAGCCUGAUCCAGCCAUUCCGCGUGCAGGACGAAGGCCUUCGGGUUGUAAACUGCUUUUGUACGGAACGAAAAGGCUCUGGUUAAUACCUGGGGCUCAUGACGGUACCGUAAGAAUAAGCACCGGCUAACUACGUGCCAGCCGCCGCAGUAA
rnacentral:rRNA from 1 species